rnacentral:rRNA from 1 species
AUGCCAUUUUGUUUGAAACUGAAAAAUUUUAUUCACAUUAGGCAAUGGGUUUUAGAGUGGAUACAAAAUGCUACAGAUUUUCACUCUAUGGUUAUGGUAGUGGCAAUAUGGCACAUAUGGGAAAAUAAAAAUGCCUACCGUAAUGGCGAAACUCAUCCUCUUCGUGUGGUGGGAAAGAUCAAAGCUUAUGUUGAAUUUAUCAAUAUGCAUUCUUUUAGUUCGACCACUUCCAUUAGACGUGAGACCUUGAAGUCAAACCAAAAAUGGUCUCCGCCGCCGGAUGGGUCGAUGCUUAUCAAUGUGGAUGCAGCGAAUUUCUCCCAAUCUGCAAGAGCGGGUUUUGGUGUGGUAAUACACGAUCACCGGGGAAGGGUGCAGGCGGCAAAUAGAGGUUACUUUGAACGAAUUCAAAUUCCUGAAGUAGCGGAAGCCAUGGCACUUCGUCAAGCCUUAAUCCUUGCCAAUAACCUUGGCAUACGGAACAUCAUGGUAGCAUCUGAUUGCCUGUUAUUGAUCAACAAGGUCAAGGGUUUAGGUUUUGAUAGGUCCCCUAUUGGAGCCAUAGUCCAUGAUAUUAGAAAAUGUGUCGUACUUGUAAUGAGGCAACACAUGUUCUGGCGAAAUCAGCAGAGCAUGAUGUUUGGUCCUGCUGGAUUAAUGAGUUUCCUGAUGUAA